UGCCUUUUGUCUCAUACCAUAAUUCCUCAAAUAAAAACCGGGGCCUUUAUUUACCUGAACUGCAGAAGGUACCAGGCUUUUAUUUGAA